UGGGGUAUAUUGGACAAUGGGCGAAAGCCUGAUCCAGCCAUGCCGCGUGUGUGAAGAAGGUCUUCGGAUUGUAAAGCACUUUAAGUUGGGAGGAAGGGCAGUAAGCGAAUACCUUGCUGUUUUGACGUUACCGACAGAAUAAGCACCGGCUAACUCUGUGCCAGCAGCCGCGGUAAUACAGAGGGUGCAAGCGUUAAUCGGAAUUACUGGGCGUAAAGCGCGCGUAGGUGGUUCGUUAAGUUGAAUGUGAAAGCACCGGGCUCAACCUGGGAACUGCAUCCAAAACUGGCGAGCUAGAGUAGGGCAGAGGGUGGUGGAAUUUCCUGUGUAGCGGUGAAAUGCGUAGAUAUAGGAAGGAACACCAGUGGCGAAGGCGACCACCUGGGCUCAUACUGACACUGAGGUGCGAAAGCGUGGGGAGCAAACAGG
rnacentral:rRNA from 1 species